GUGGGCGUAGCUCAAUUGGCAGAGCACCAGGUUGUGGCCCUGGUGGUUACGGGUUCGAAUCCCGUCGCCCACCCA
rnacentral:tRNA from 1 species